rnacentral:rRNA from 1 species
UUGGCUCAGGAUGAACGCUGGCGGCGUGCUUAACACAUGCAAGUCGAACGAGGUUAUUACAGUUGAAGUUUUCGGAUGGAUACAGUUUUAACCGAGUGGCGGACGGGUGAGUAACGCGUGGGGAACCUGCCCCAUUCCGGGGGAUACCAGUUGGAAACGACUGUUAAUACCGCAUAAGCGCACGGUACCGCAUGGUACAGUGUGAAAAACUCCGGUGGAAUGGGAUGGCCCCGCGUCUGAUUAGGCAGUUGGCGGGGUAACGGCCCACCAAACCGACGAUCAGUAGCCGACCUGAGAGGGUGACCGGCCACAUUGGGACUGAGACACGGCCCAAACUCCUACGGGAGGCAGCAGUGGGGAAUA